rnacentral:rRNA from 1 species
ACCUAUGCUCUUUGACGGCCUUUUUUCUAACCAAAGGAACUUGUCCAUAAAUCGAAAUUACCCGUUAAUUUUUUCUCCCCCUCAAAGUUUUUAUACCGUCGUCUUAAGAACAUGUUAUAAACUUUGCUCCAAAUUAAUUUCCUAAAUAAGUCAGAUCAAGGUAAAGCCUAUGGGGGAGAGCACAAUGAGUUAUCCAUAAAAAUGAUUUAUAGAAUUUUGUCUAAAGAUUGAAUGAAUUAAGAUUUGAGAAUAUUAUUAAAUUAACAAAUUAUAAAGAAUUAGUAAAAAAAGGUGC